CAAUAGCGUAUAUUAAAGUUGUUGCAGUUAGAACGCUCGUAGUCGGAUUUCGGGGCGGGUCGACCGGUCUGCCGAUGGGUACGCACUGGCCGACGCGUCCUUCCUUCCGGAGACCGUCCCUACUCUUAACUGAGCGGGGGCGGGAGACGGAACGUUUACUUUGAAAAAAUCAGAGUGUUUCAAGCAGGCAUCUCGCUCUUGCAUGGAUUAGCAUGGGAUAAUGAAAUAGGACUUUGGUGCUAUUUUGUUGGUUUCGAACACCGAAGUAAUGAUGAGAAGGGACAGUCAGGGGCGCUCGUAUUCCGCCGAGAGAGGUGAAAUUCUCAGACCAGCGGAAGACGAACCACUGCGAAAGCAUUUGCCAGGGAUGUUUUCACUGA
rnacentral:rRNA from 1 species